rnacentral:rRNA from 1 species
GAUGAACGCUGGCGGCGUGCCUAAUACAUGCAAGUCGAGCGAACAGACGAGGAGCUUGCUCCUCUGACGUUAGCGGCGGACGGGUGAGUAACACGUGGAUAACCUACCUAUAAGACUGGGAUAACUUCGGGAAACCGGAGCUAAUACCGGAUAACAUGUUGAACCGCAUGGUUCAACAGUGAAAGACGGUCUUGCUGUCACUUAUAGAUGGAUCCGCGCCGCAUUAGCUAGUUGGUAAGGUAACGGCUUACCAAGGCAACGAUGCGUAGCCGACCUGAGAGGGUGAUCGGCCACGCUGGAACUGAGACACGGUCCAGACUCCUACGGGAGGCAGCAGUAGGGAAUCUUCCGCAAAGGGCGAAAGCCUGACGGAGCAACGCCGCGUGAGUGAUGAAGGUCUUCGGAUCGUAAAACUCUGUUAUUAGGGAAGAACAAAUGUGUAAGUAACUAUGCACGUCUUGACGGUACCUAAUCAGAAAGCCACGGCUAACUACGUG